UCCGGUGAUGCUCCGGUUAGCUUGACGCUGAUCUCUGCUGGAGGAGCGGACUGACUCCGGGCGUUUUCCGAUGCUGGGAAGCCGGGAAGCAGGACCUGCCGGUGGCGGGGAGGAUGCUGCGGGGCCGCGGGGGCCGCUGAGCCGGACACACCGCGGGGAGGAGACGCCUCCCGGCCGGGCUGGGUGUCUCCUGGCCGGCCUGGUGAGCUGGAGGCGGAGACCGUGGAGGACCUCAGCCCUGCUGGCUGCAGCCAACACCGUGCUGUGGUUUGUGGCCUUCGGCUCUUUUCAAGCCUACAGCCUCCUGGCCGUCCUGUUGGCUUUGCUGGUCGUCACGGUGACCGUCAGAGACAUCAUUCGGUCCAGAUCCACAGAAGCUCACUUGUGGCGCAGCAUCA
ensembl:lncRNA